rnacentral:sRNA from 1 species
CUUUAUUUCGCUGUAGCUCUCAAAUUUGUGGCAAGCUCCUUUAGAAUGACAGCUAUUGUAUGUGUAUGUGUAUAUAGAAGAACAUAUGUUGUAUUGAUAUUAUUAAUAUUGUGCAAUUAUCAUGAGUAACGGAUACAAGUGUAUUACUUGAGAGAGAUGUGACCAAUAUUAGGUAUUAUGAAAAAAAGACGAUUAGUUUUGUGUUAAAAGCAUUGUAUAAUAUGUUCUAGAUUUAAUGCCUGUUAGAUCAUGCUUGGGUAUUAGAAAAAAAAUUACAAAAUCAAAAAACUGUAUGGAAAAACUUUGAAGAAAAAAAACUGCAUUGGUUUUUUCGUUUGUUGGUUAUUUUAUCAUGAACCUGUAUUGGUUUUUAUGUACAUGUAUGUAUGUUGAACAAAUUGUAAUCAAGAAUGUUAGUCAGGAGCACAUGAGGCCAGUGUUUGUAUACUUUUUAUCAGAAUGCACAUCUAUUUAUGGGUAUGAAUAUAAGAAAUCUGAAAUGUUUAGAAAAUUAAAUGACCACAGCAUAAAUAUUUUUUGUUUGAAGAAUGAUGAUCCUUGAAAUCCAUUUCUUGACAAACAGCAUUUGAUAGAAUGGGAAGCCCUUUUGAUUUUAAUUUUUUUUUUAAUUCGGUCAUCUUUUGUUUCCUUUCUAAAUACAGAAGAGCAGUUGCUUGAAUUGAUCAUUCUCGUUUAGCUUCAGUGGCAUUAUCCCUCUGUAUGACAGAAAAUGGUCUCUGUUUUUACUUUGCAAAGAGGUUUGUAUGACAAUCUUUAGAAAAAUAGACAACAUUCUUUAGCAAUUGUAUGAUAUUGAUGUGGCAUUAAUAUUUUAAGAAUUUUUUUUUUUCUUUUAAAGAAUUGAUAUCUUUUUUGGAAAAAGAAGUCAACAGCUUGUGACCUUGCUCUUUCAGUUCUGUCAUACUUUUCAAUCUUUCUCUGAACUCCAACUGUCAAAUUUCAUCCAAAUCUUUUUUUUCUAAUCAUAACAUUUGCUCCUCUAGUCAUUUUUCACUAUGUAUAUGUGUUGCUAACCUAGAGACGUUGAAUCUAGGCUAAUAUGUUCACAUGGUGGCAGCAGUCAAUAUAAUGAAUAAUGAAUUGGUGUUUAAUGAUUGGGUUUUUUUCUUUUAUGGGUAUAAAAAUUUAUCACAUUUACUUAGCAUAUUUUCCAUGGGUGGGGGUUGGGGAGAAAUUUUGUUUUUUAGCAUUCUAUUUUUAAAAUUCCAAAAGAAAUGCCUUUGACUUCAUGUGAUUCUCAACUUGUGUGCAGGGAAGGUCUGUGCCAUUUUUCAGUUAUAAUUAUUGUUGAUAUGUUUUAUUUCACAAAGUUUAAGUUGUCAUCAUUUUGUAUUGAAAUAAAAAUCACCAAAAAAAAGUUGAAAAAAAAAUAAAGGCAUUUAAAAA